AACUGAUACUACCUGCGGGAACCUGCGGAAGGAUCAUUACCUGAAUACGGGCUUCGGCCCUCAUUCUACCCUUGUCUACUGCACCUUUUGUCGUUCCCUCGGCGGGCCUCCCGCCGACGGGUACCCAAGAAACCCUUUGCAAUAAGCAUGUAAAUCUGAUACCAAUUGAAUAAUCACAACUUUUAACAACGGAUCUCU
rnacentral:misc_RNA from 1 species